UUUGCAUAGAAUUACUUCAUAUAUCCAGCAUGACUAAUUUAAAUUUCACAUCUAAACAUAUUUUUGUCUUUUAAUUUUCACAUAUUCUUUAAGAAUAUUCAUUCUUUUAGAAUAAAUCAUGUUGAAAAGAAACAAGUUAGUCGUGUUUUAUCCUCAAGCUCCGCCCCCUGGAAAGGAAAAAUCGGCUGCACUGUCCGCCAUUUUUGUCUCUCGCUUUGGAAAAUCUACUACCAUCUGGAGUUUUACACUUGAAGAUAAAUGCAGAGUUUAAGCGCAUUACCACCAUGCCACUGCAGUCCAGAUUACUCUCGCAGAUAGAUGUGCUAUCUGACAAACUAAUAAAGGUCUUCAAAAAGCGAGGAGGACAAAGAGGAAGAAGACUUCAGAACAUUCUGGAGCCCACGGCCCAGGCCGCAGAUGAAGCCAUUAUCCAACGAUCUAAUAAGGAAACAACCAUGGGAAUUUACAUCAUAAAGUCAGGAGAUACCAAUGGCAGCCCUGAGGACAUCGGGAUAGUCCUUGAAGGCCAGAGAGUCUAGCAGGAUUUGGAUAACUAUACCCUAGCAGCUGCAAUGCUGUUUGGACUAAUGUACACUUUGAACCUCACCUACCCACUGGAAAAGUAUACCUUGGAGGUAUUAUAGAAACUGUUUAUGGAGCUCAAAAGGAACAGCCUUUCAAAGAAGGCCCAGGUUUUCAGGACCAGACUGUACGAUUGAACAGUUUUCCAGUUAUGAUGUGGGAACAACAGGUUUACCUCUUCGAAUAUGUACCAUCCUUUCUUUUAAGCCAGCACUGGUAAAGUUGCAGUACAUAGUGAAACUUAUUUUUCUGGCACUUUUCAACUUGGGGCCUUUAUUACUGCAGUGUUCAGUGUUCACUUUUCAAGCCAUGGCUCUUUUGAAAAAAAAUUCAAACUUUGAAUGUCCAUUUUUCUCAAUGGAAAUGGUGCCUUGCACCAAUUUCACCAGUUAGCAAUUUCUUUCCCAAGGUGCACCACUACAAACAGAUUGCAUGGUCUAGUAUUAGUGAUUGUGAUGUUUAGUGAUAGAAGCAAGCCAAUACUAAUCAGUUUAGGUCUCUUGGUUUUGUGCCUGUGGAUUAUAAUGUUAUUUUAAGUCUCCUUUUUGUGUCAUUUUAAUAAUUACACCCCUUUUGCCAUAUUACCUUAUGGCUCUUACAUUUAAAAAACUAUUUUUUACAUAAGCGUGAUGUCAUAAGGCCCCACAGUGUUGAAUCCAGGUUACAGCAGAUAACUUUGAGGAAUGUUGUGGAAUGUUUUUCAAGAGAUGCAUUGUACAAAUAUGACUCAUGUAUAUUUUGGAAGCCUGAAUUGAAAGUCCAUUGUUACAACUGUGUAGUAUUUUCAAAAAUACAGGUCAUUGUUCAAAAAUGUUUUGUUUUUUUCUUUGAUUGAAGAGAAAGUGUACAGUACAUACAGUAAGAUCAGCCUUAAUUUAGUUUUAUUUAUUGAACACUCAAUUAUAUAUUAGAUUAUAUAUUAUAUAUUAGAAAUUUGUUAUAAAAUAAAAUAAGCUUACCAUAAAAUAAUCUUGUCAAUAUAACACAUAGUAGUCCAAUACAAUUAACACAAAAAGUUCAUGUCUGAUAAACAAGUGGUUUCUAUAAAUAUUUGACCAGAAUGAAAAACGUAACAACAACAUAAAAAAGUCAUGUUCAUGUUACCAGAUAAAUGUGUGCAGGUAUAACAUGAAAAA